AUCGCCUCCCACUAAGUCAUUCCGGUCAACUCACCAUUUUUCUCCAGCGAGAUUUUGGGUAUCUUCGCCCCUUUGGAAGCAUUUUCCGGCGACACCGGAGGUCAUUUGGGCGAAGGAGCUGUACUUUCGUGAUGUACUCAUCGGGAUUAUCGUUUUGAUAUAUGCCAUGCAUAUAUUCGUUGACGUUUCCGGUACCGCCACCAACCGCUAUUGUGCACCGCUUGGGAAAAACAUGAUAUUAAAAUCGGACUAAAUCAUUCUAAGAUCAUCGAUAAGCUUAGGAGCGUUGCUUUGGGCUCGGAUUAAAUUCUAAGGAGAUAUCUAAAGAGGAGCCUAGUGACGCGAACGUGGAAAUGAUGAAUUAUCGAUGGAGCCAAUGUGUUUAGCCUAUUUCUAUUUCGGGUCAUUGCCUUAUCUUUUGAGCAUUAUAUAUGUAUUCGACUUCGAAUCUAAUGAUCGGUAUAUCUGAAUGAGCUAUGAAAUAGUUAGGGAUGAGGAAUGGUGGAUGCUAAGUAUUAUUUUGAGUGUUUAUGACUUAUUAAAU